rnacentral:snRNA from 1 species
AUACUUACUUGAUAGGAGAGAUACCGCGAUCAGUUAGUUACGGCGGUAUUAUCAGGGAGAGGCCUACCCAUUGCACUACAGGGGGGAAAAGGUUGACCCUUGCGAUUUUCCCCAAAUGUGGGAAACUCGACUGUACAAUUUGAGGAGUGC